UUAUAAUCUAUGAAAUGUGAUUGCGUUAGGGAUAGCAGCAGAAAGCCCACAGCCGGACGAAGGGAGGCGAGGACUUGGAGCGAAUAGCCCGACCCGCA
rnacentral:misc_RNA from 1 species